AGAGUUUGAUCCUGGCUCAGGACGAACGCUGGCGGCACGCUUAACACAUGCAAGUCGAACGAGAGAAGAGGAGCUUGCUUUCUGAUCUAGUGGCGGACGGGUGAGUAACACGUGAGCAAUCUGCCUUUCAGAGGGGGAUACCGAUUGGAAACGAUCGUUAAUACCGCAUAACAUAAUUGAACCGCAUGAUUUGAUUAUCAAAGAUUUAUCGCUGAAAGAUGAGCUCGCGUCUGAUUAGCUAGUUGGUAAGGUAACGGCUUACCAAGGCGACGAUCAGUAGCCGGACUGAGAGGUUGAUCGGCCACAUUGGGACUGAGACACGGCCCAGACUCCUACGGGAGGCAGCAGUGGGGAAUAUUGCACAAUGGAGGAAACUCUGAUGCAGCGAUGCCGCGUGAGGGAAGAAGGUUUUAGGAUUGUAAACCUCUGUCUUCAGGGACGAAAAAAGACGGUACCUGAGGAGGAAGCUCCGGCUAACUACGUGCCAGCAGCCGCGGUAAUACGUAGGGAGCGAGCGUUGUCCGGAAUUACUGGGUGUAAAGGGAGCGUAGGCGGGAUCGCAAGUCAGAUGUGAAAACUAUGGGCUUAACCCAUAAACUGCAUUUGAAACUGUGGUUCUUGAGUGAAGUAGAGGUAAGCGGAAUUCCUAGUGUAGCGGUGAAAUGCGUAGAUAUUAGGAGGAACAUCAGUGGCGAAGGCGGCUUACUGGGCUUUAACUGACGCUGAGGCUCGAAAGCGUGGGGAGCAAACAGGAUUAGAUACCCUGGUAGUCCACGCCGUAAACGAUGAUUACUAGGUGUGGGGGGACUGACCCCUUCCGUGCCGCAGCAAACGCAAUAAGUAAUCCACCUGGGGAGUACGACCGCAAGGUUGAAACUCAAAGGAAUUGACGGGGGCCCGCACAAGCAGUGGAGUAUGUGGAUUAAUUCGAAGCAACGCGAAGAACCUUACCAGGUCUUGACAUCGUAUGCAUAGCUCAGAGAUGAGUGAAAUCUCUUCGGAGACAUAUAGACAGGUGGUGCAUGGUUGUCGUCAGCUCGUGUCGUGAGAUGUUGGGUUAAGUCCCGCAACGAGCGCAACCCUUACUGUUAGUUGCUACGCAAGAGCACUCUAGCAGGACUGCCGUUGACAAAACGGAGGAAGGUGGGGAUGACGUCAAAUCAUCAUGCCCCUUAUGACCUGGGCCUCACACGUACUACAAUGGCUGUCAACAGAGGGAAGCAAAGCCGCGAGGUGGAGCGAACCCCUAAAAGCAGUCUUAGUUCGGAUUGUAGGCUGCAACCCGCCUACAUGAAGUCGGAAUUGCUAGUAAUCGCAGAUCAGCAUGCUGCGGUGAAUACGUUCCCGGGCCUUGUACACACCGCCCGUCACGCCAUGGGAGUCGGUAACACCCGAAGCCUGUAGUCUAACCGCAAGGAGGACGCAGUCGAAGGUGGGAUUGAUGACUGGGGUGAAGUCGGAACAAGGUA
rnacentral:rRNA from 1 species